UACGGAGGAUGCGAGCGUUAUCCGGAUUUAUUGGGUUUAAAGGGUGCGUAGGCGGACGCUUAAGUCAGCGGUAAAAUUGCGGGGCUCAACCUCGUCGAGCCGUUGAAACUGGGUGUCUUGAGUGGGCGAGAAGUACGCGGAAUGCGUGGUGUAGCGGUGAAAUGCAUAGAUAUCACGCAGAACUCCGAUUGCGGAGGCAGCGUACCGGCGCCCAACUGACGCUGAAGCACGAAGGCGUGGGUAUCGAACAGG
rnacentral:rRNA from 1 species